UACGGAGGGUGCGAGCGUUGUCCGGAAUCAUUGGGCGUAAAGGGCGCGUAGGCGGCUGGGGUAGUCCGUGGUGAAAGCUCGAGGCUCAACUUCGAGUCGGCCGUGGAUACUCCCGAGCUGGAGCACUGUAGAGGCAGGCGGAAUUCCGGGUGUAGCGGUGGAAUGCGUAGAGAUCCGGAAGAACACCGGUGGCGAAGGCGGCCUGCUGGGCAGUGGCUGACGCUGAGGCGCGACAGCGUGGGGAGCAAACAGG
rnacentral:rRNA from 1 species